rnacentral:rRNA from 1 species
UACGGGGGGGGGCAAGCGUUGUUCGGAAUUACUGGGCGUAAAGGGCUGGUAGGCGGCCAACUAAGUCCGACGUGAAAUCCCAAGGCUUAACCUUGGAACUGCGUCGGAUACUGGAUGGCUUGAAUUCGGGAGAGGGAUGCGGAAUUCCAGGUGUAGCGGUGAAAUGCGUAGAUAUCCGGAGGAACACCGGUGGCGAAGGCGGCUUCCUGGACCGACACUGACGCUGAGGCGCGAAAGCUAGGGGAGCAAACGGG